GCCUGACUGACUCAGUCUGUAGAGGAUGAGACUCCUAAUCUCAGAGUCGUGGGUUCGAGCCCCACGUUGGGCC
rnacentral:tRNA from 2 species